GGUAGCAUAAUCGUUAGUUUUUUAAUUGGAAUCUUGUAUGAAUGGUUGGACAAAAGAGAAUCUGUCUUUAUAUUGUUCGUUGAAUUUAACUUUUAAGUGAAAAGGCUUAAAUAUAUUGGAGGGACGAUAAGACCCUAGAAAGCUUAAUAUUAAGAUUUUAUUUAGUUAAAUUUUACAUAGAUAAAAACUUAGUAACUGAAUUUAUUUUAUUGGGGCGAUAAGAGUAAAAUGAUUAUUAACUGCUUAGUUUUAAAUACAUCAUAGAUGAUUAAAUUUUUAAAUGAUCCUAGUUGAAGAUUAAAAGUUUAAGUUACUUUAGGGAUAACAGCGUUAUUUUUUUUGAGAGUACUUAUCGAAAAAAAAGUUUGCGACCUCGAUGUUGAAUUAAAAUGUCUUUAUAAUUGUAGCAGUUAUAAAAGUAGGUCUGUUCGACCUUUAAAAUUUUACAUGAUUUGAGUUCAAACCGGCGUGAG
rnacentral:rRNA from 1 species